AUCGCUUCUCGGCUUUUUGGCUAAGAUAAAGUGUAGUAUCUAUUCUUAUCAUUCCAGUAACUAUCAGGUAUAUUUUGGGAGGAAUCAUUGAAAUCCUGUCCUAGAAAUCAGUACAGGCUUUUUGCUCAGGCA
rnacentral:snRNA from 11 species